UACAGAGGUCCCAAGCGUUGUUCGGAUUCACUGGGCGUAAAGGGUGCGUAGGCGGUCGGGUAAGUCUGUUGUGAAAUCUCCAAGCUUAACUUGGAAACUGCAGUGGAUACUAUCCGGCUAGAGGAAUGGAGGGGAGACUGGAAUACUUGGUGUAGCAGUGAAAUGCGUAGAUAUCAAGUGGAACACCAGUGGCGAAGGCGAGUCUCUGGACAUUUCCUGACGCUGAGGCACGAAAGCCAGGGGAGCAAACGGG
rnacentral:rRNA from 1 species